GACGAACGCUGGCGGCGUGCUUAACACAUGCAAGUCGAACGGUAAGGCCCUUCGGGGUACACGAGUGGCGAACGGGUGAGUAACACGUGGGUGAUCUGCCCUGCACUUCGGGCUAAGCCUGGGAAACUGGGUCUAAUACCGUAUACGUCCUUCGGGAGAAAGAUUUAUCGGAGAUGGAUGAGCCCGGGUUGGAUUAGCUAGUUGGUGGGGUAAAGGCCUACCAAGGCGACGAUCCAUAGCUGGUCUGAGAGGAUGAUCAGCCACACUGGGACUGAGACACGGCCCAGACUCCUACGGGAGGCAGCAGUGGGGAAUAUUGGACAAUGGGCGCAAGCCUGAUCCAGCCAUGCCGCGUGUGUGAAGAAGGCCUUUUGGUUGUAAAGCACUUUAAGCGAGGAGGAGGCUACUUGGAUUAAUACUCUAGGAUAGUGGACGUUACUCGCAGAAUAAGCACCGGCUAACUCUGUGCCAGCCGCCGCCGUAA
rnacentral:rRNA from 1 species